CGAAUAGCGGGAGGCGAUGACACGCGGUCCAUACCCCGGCCGCCGGGACCGCACCGAGCCACUGGCGAGACCGACCCGUACGUGG
rnacentral:ncRNA from 1 species